rnacentral:rRNA from 1 species
CUACGGGGUGCAGCAGUGAGGAAUAUUGCGCAAUGGGGGAAACCCUGACGCAGCGACGCCGCGUGGAUGAUGAAGGCCUUCGGGUCGUAAAAUCCUGUCAGAAGGAAAGAAGUAUAUGGUAGCUAAUAUCUGCCAUAUUUGACGGUACCUUCAAAGGAAGCACCGGCUAACUCCGUGCCAGCAGCCGCGGUAAUACGGAGGGUGCAAGCGUUGUUCGGAAUUACUGGGCGUAAAGCGCGCGUAGGCGGCUGUUUAAGUCAGAUGUGAAAGCCCAUGGCUUAACCAUGGACGUGCAUUUGAUACUGGGCAGCUUGAGUACUGGAGGGGAUGGUGGAAUUCCCGGUGUAGAGGUGAAAUUCGUAGAUAUCGGGAGGAAUACCGGUGGCGAAGGCGACCACCUGGCCAGAUACUGACGCUGAGGUGCGAAAGCGUGGGGAGCAAACAGGAUUAGAUACCCCAGUAGUC